UAACGCGUGAGUAACCUGCCUNCAAGAGGGGGAUAACAUUCUGAAAAGAAUGCUAAUACCGCAUGACAUAUUGGAACCACAUGGUUUUGAUAUCAAAGAUUUUAUCGCUUGAAGAUGGACUCGCGUCCGAUUAGUUAGUUGGUGAGGUAACGGCUCACCAAGACCGCGAUCGGUAGCCGGACUGAGAGGUUGAACGGCCACAUUGGGACUGAGACACGGCCCAGACUCCUACGGGAGGCAGCAGUGGGGGAUAUUGCGCAAUGGGGGCAACCCUGACGCAGCAACGCCGCGUGAAGGAUGGAGGUUUUCGGAUUGUAAACUUCUUUUAUUAAGGACGAAAAUUGACGGUACUUAAUGAAUAAGCUCCGGCUAACUACGUGCCAGCAGCCGCGGUAAUACGUAGGGAGCAAGCGUUGUCCGGAUUUACUGGGUGUAAAGGGUGCGUAGGCGGCUUUGCAAGUCAGAUGUGAAAUCUAUGGGCUCAACCCAUAAACUGCAUUUGAAACUGUAGAGCUUGAGUGAAGUAGAGGCAGGCGGAAUUCCCCGUGCAGCGGUGAAAUGCGUAGAGAUGGGGAGGAACACCAGUGGCGAAGGCGGCCUGCUGGGCUUUAACUGACGCUGAGGCACGAAAGCGUGGGUAGCAAACAGGAUUAGAUACCCUGGUAGUCCACGCUGUAAACGAUGAUUACUAGGUGU
rnacentral:rRNA from 1 species